GCGCAUGCGUGGAUGAGCAGGCUGAGCCUGUGUUUUGCCCUCGGCCAUGGUCGUGUCCUCUGUCUCCCGCUCCGCGUCCCAAUACCGCCCGGCGCCUCUGGCGAGGUUGCCGCCCCAGCUGGACCCCAAUGAAUACCGCUGGAGCCUCGAGAAACGCCGCGCGGAAGCCGAGCGGCUCGCCCUCCGCGCCCGCCUCAAGCGCGAGUACAUGCUGCGGCUUAAUGACCCUCGACGGACGGAGCUCAUCGAAGACCCCGCUGUAAUUCGUUGGGAUUAUGCCAGGAGGCACAAUGUCUAUCCUAGUUUCCGCUUUACCCCUAAAAGUUCCCUACUGAGUCUCCUCUGGGGAGCAGGACCCUUUGUUUUCUGGUGGUAUGUCUUGACGACCAGUAGGGGUUAUAAAGAAAAGCUCAAAAAUGAAGGCAGAUAUGAGGAAACAUUCCGUACCGCCUAUUAAGUCUUUGACAACUAUGUGUGACAAUCUUGCUGAAGAGACUUUAUUACCUCUCUGAUAGCAGAGAAACUGUCACCUUGGGAGUGGAACAUUUCUAUUUUCCUUAAAAGCACUGUUUGCCAAUUGUUCUCCUCAUCCAUUGGUAACUGACCAGCAGAAGCAAACUGGAAAACCAGGAACUUAUUGCACUGACUCCCAUGCUUCCACAACUUCUGCCUAAAUAAUCAUAGAUAGGAUCUUAAGCAGUAUGUGGAAAGCUCUUGCACGAUAAUCCUGCCUUGUUAGGAGAUGCAGAAUUACCAUUUAGUUCCAUUUGUAUUUUCUGAUCUUUAAAGACAUUAAUUUUAAUAAUUGUAAUAUAAUUUAUUAAAUUGUAUGCCACCCAACUA